rnacentral:rRNA from 1 species
CAGUCGCCACGGUAAUACGGAGGGGGCUAGCGUUGUUCGGAAUUACUGGGCGUAAAGCGCACGUAGGCGGACCGGAAAGUCAGAGGUGAAAUCCCAGGGCUCAACCUUGGAACUGCCUUUGAAACUCCUGGUCUUGAGGUCGAGAGAGGUGAGUGGAAUUCCGAGUGUAGAGGUGAAAUUCGUAGAUAUUCGGAGGAACACCAGUGGCGAAGGCGGCUCACUGGCUCGAUACUGACGCUGAGGUGCGAAAGCGUGGGGAGCAAACAGGAUUAGAUACCCUGUAGUCCCUGUCUCUUAUACA